GAUGAACGCUGGCGGCGUGCUUAACACAUGCAAGUCGAACGAUGAAGCCCAGCUUGCUGGGUGGAUUAGUGGCGAACGGGUGAGUAACACGUGAGUAACCUGCCCUUAACUCUGGGAUAAGCCUGGGAAACUGGGUCUAAUACCGGAUAGGAGCGCCUACCGCAUGGUGGGUGUUGGAAAGAUUUAUCGGUUUUGGAUGGACUCGCGGCCUAUCAGCUUGUUGGUGAGGUAAUGGCUCACCAAGGCGACGACGGGUAGCCGGCCUGAGAGGGUGACCGGCCACACUGGGACUGAGACACGGCCCAGACGCCUACGGGAGGCAGCAGUGGGGAAUAUUGCACAAUGGGCGAAAGCCUGAUGCAGCGACGCCGCGUGAGGGAUGACGGCCUUCGGGUUGUAAACCUCUUUCAGUAGGGAAGAAGCGAAAGUGACGGUACCUGCAGAAGAAGCACCGGCUAACUACGUG
rnacentral:rRNA from 1 species